UGGGGAAUCUUGCACAAUGGACGAAAGUCUGAUGCAGCAACGCCGCGUGGGGGAUGAAGCUUCUCGGAGUGUAAACCCCUUUCGACCCGGAAGAAUGCCCGCAAGGGUUUGACGGUACGGGUAUAAGAAGCCCCGGCUAACUACGUGCCAGCAGCCGCGGUAAUACGUAGGGGGCCAGCGUUGCUCGGAAUUACUGGGCGUAAAGGGUCUGUAGGCGGUGCGGCAAGUCGAUAGUGAAAUCCCUAGGCUUAACCUAGGGGCUGCUAGCGAAACCGCCGUGCUAGAGUGUGAGAGAGGCGAGUGGAAUUACGGGUGUAGCGGUGAAAUGCGUAGAUAUCCGUAGGAACAUCCGAGGCGAAAGCGGCUCGCUGGAUCACAACUGACGCUGAGAGACGAAAGCUAGGGGAGCAAACAGGAUUAGAUACCCUGGUAGUCCUAGCCCUAAACCAUCAGGACUUGGGGUUUGCCCUGUACGGGGCAAGUCCCGUAGCUAACGCGUUAAGUCCUGCGCCUGGGGAGUACGGUCGCAAGGCUG
rnacentral:rRNA from 1 species